UACAGAGGGUGCGAGCGUUAAUCGGAAUUACUGGGCGUAAAGCGUGCGUAGACGGUCAAGUAAGUCGGGUGUGAAAGCCCCGGGCUCAACCUGGGAAUUGCAUUCGAGACUGCGUGGCUAGGGUGCGGAAGAGGGAAGCGGAAUUUCCGGUGUAGCGGUGAAAUGCGUAGAUAUCGGAAGGAACACCAGUGGCGAAAGCGGCUUCCUGGUCCAGCACCGACGUUCAGGCGCGAAAGCGUGGGGAGCAAACAGG
rnacentral:rRNA from 1 species